rnacentral:rRNA from 1 species
AAGACCUUGCACUUUUGGAGCGGCCGAUGUCUGAUUAGCUAGUUGGUGGGGUAAUGGCCUACCAAAGCUUCGAUCAGUAGCCGGUCUGAGAGGACGGCCAGCCACACUGGGACUGAGACACGGCCCAGACUCCUACGGGAGGCAGCAGUGGGGAAUUUUGGACAAUGGGCGCAAGCCUGAUCCAGCCAUGCCGCGUGAGUGAAGAAGGCCUUCGGGUUGUAAAGCUCUUUCAGCCGGGAAGAAAAGGUUGCGACUAAUAAUCGCAAUCCAUGACGGUACCGAAAGAAGAAGCACCGGCUAACUACGUGCCAGCAGCCGCGGUAAUACGUAGGGUGCGAGCGUUAAUCGGAAUUACUGGGCGUAAAGGGUGCGCAGGCGGUUUUGUAAGUCAGAUGUGAAAUCCCCGGGCUUAACCUGGGAACU